GUAGGUGGCAAGCGUUGUCCGGAAUUAUUGGGCGUAAAGCGCGCGCAGGUGGUUCUUUAAGUCUGAUGUGAAAGCCCCCGGCUCAACCGGGGAGGGUCAUUGGAAACUGGGGAACUUGAGUGCAGGAGAGGAAAGUGGAAUUCCACGUGUAGCGGUGAAAUGCGUAGAUAUGUGGAGGAACACCAGUGGCGAAGGCGACUUUCUGGCCUGUAACUGACACUGAGGCGCGAAAGCGUGGGGAGCAAACAGGGAUUAGAUACCCUGGUAGUCCACGCCGUAAACGAUGAGUGCUAAGUGUUGGGGGGGUUUCCCGCCCCUCAGUGCUGCAGCUAACGCAUUAAGCACUCCGCCUGGGGAGUACGGUCGCAAGGCUG
rnacentral:rRNA from 1 species